rnacentral:rRNA from 1 species
AUGCAAGUCGAGCGGUAGCACAGAGAGCUUGCUCUCGGGUGACGAGCGGCGGACGGGUGAGUAAUGUCUGGGAAACUGCCUGAUGGAGGGGGAUAACUACUGGAAACGGUAGCUAAUACCGCAUAACGUCGCAAGACCAAAGUGGGGGACCUUCGGGCCUCAUGCCAUCAGAUGUGCCCAGAUGGGAUUAGCUGGUAGGUGGGGUAACGGCUCACCUAGGCGACGAUCCCUAGCUGGUCUGAGAGGAUGACCAGCCACACUGGAACUGAGACACGGUCCAGACUCCUACGGGAGGCAGCAGUGGGGAAUAUUGCACAAUGGGCGCAAGCCUGAUGCAGCCAUGCCGCGUGUGUGAAGAAGGCCUUCGGGUUGUAAAGCACUUUCAGCGGGGAGGAAGGCGAUAAGGUUAAUAACCUUGUCGAUUGACGUUACCCGCAGAAGAAGCACCGGCUAACUCCGUGCCAGCAGCCGCGGUAAUACGGAGGGUGCAAGCGUUAAUCGGAAUUACUGGGCGUAAAGCGCACGCAGGCGGUCUGUCAAGUCGGAUGUGAAAUCCCCGGGCUCAACCUGGGAACUGCAUUCGAAACUGGCAGGCUAGAGUCUUGUAGAGGGGGGUAGAAUUCCAGGUGUAGCGGUGAAAUGCGUAGAGAUCUGGAGGAAUACCGGUGGCGAAGGCGGCCCCCUGGACAAAGACUGACGCUCAGGUGCGAAAGCGUGGGGAGCAAACAGGAUUAGAUACCCUGGUAGUCCACGCUGUAAACGAUGUCGAUUUGGAGGUUGUGCCCUUGAGGCGUGGCUUCCGGAGCUAACGCGUUAAAUCGACCGCCUGGGGAGUACGGCCGCAAGGUUAAAACUCAAAUGAAUUGACGGGGGCCCGCACAAGCGGUGGAGCAUGUGUUUUAAUUCGAUGCAACGCGAAGAACCUUACCUGGUCUUGACAUCCACAGAACUUUCCAGAGAUGGAUUGGUGCCUUCGGGAACUGUGAGACAGGUGCUGCAUGGCUGUCGUCAGCUCGUGUUGUGAAAUGUUGGGUUAAGUCCCGCAACGAGCGCAACCCUUAUCCUUUGUUGCCAGCGGUUAGGCCGGGAACUCAAAGGAGACUGCCAGUGAUAAACUGGAGGAAGGUGGGGAUGACGUCAAGUCAUCAUGGCCCUUACGACCAGGGCUACACACGUGCUACAAUGGCAUAUACAAAGAGAAGCGACCUCGCGAGAGCAAGCGGACCUCAUAAAGUAUGUCGUAGUCCGGAUUGGAGUCUGCAACUCGACUCCAUGAAGUCGGAAUCGCUAGUAAUCGUAGAUCAGAAUGCUACGGUGAAUACGUUCCCGGGCCUUGUACACACCGCCCGUCACACCAUGGGAGUGGGUUGCAAAAGAAGUAGGUAGCUAA